rnacentral:rRNA from 1 species
AACGCGAAGAACCUUACCAGGUCUUGACAUCUGAAUGUAACGCUUAGAGAUAAGCGCCUUCUUCGGAACAUUCAAGACAGGUGGUGCAUGGUUGUCGUCAGCUCGUGUCGUGAGAUGUUGGGUUAAGUCCCGCAACGAGCGCAACCCCUGAUCUUAGUUGCCAGCAUUUCGGAUGGGCACUCUAGGAUGACUGCCGGUGACAAACCGGAGGAAGGUGGGGAUGACGUCAAAUCAUCAUGCCCCUUAUGACCUGGGCUACACACGUACUACAAUGGUCGGUACAACGGGAAGCGAAAGAGCGAUCUGGAGCGAAUCCUAUAAAGCCGAUCUCAGUUCGGAUUGCAGGCUGCAACUCGCCUGCAUGAAGUCGGAAUUGCUAGUAAUCGCUGAUCAGCAAGCAGCGGUGAAUACGUUCCCGGGCCUUGUACACACCGACGCGUA